rnacentral:tRNA from 1 species
CAGGGCGCAGUGAAGCAAGCGCUACGUUCGGGACGUAGAGGUCGCUGGUUCAAAUCCAGUCACCCCGA